CCUACGGGUGGCAGCAGUGAGGAAUAUUGGUCAAUGGACGCAAGUCUGAACCAGCCAUGCCGCGUGCAGGAAGAAGGCUCUAUGAUUUGUAAACUUCUUUUGUAGGGGGGUAAACGUAGACACGUGUAUCUGUUUGAAUGUACCCUACGAAUAAGCAUCGGCUAACUCCGUGCCAGCAGCCGCGGUAAUACGGAGGAUGCAAGCGUUAUCCGGAUUUAUUGGGGUUAAAGGGUACGUAGGGGGUGUGAUAAGUCAGCGGUGAAAUCGUGUGGCUCAACCAGGAAAGUGCCGUUGAGACUGGAAGGCUAGAGAGUGGUUGAGGUAGGCGGAAUGCGUGGUGUAGCGGUGAAAUGCAUAGAUAUCAUGCAGAACACCGAUUGCGAAGGCAGCUUACUAAGCUACAACUGACGUUGAGGCACGAAAGCGUGGGGAGCAAACAGGAUUAGAUACCCGAGUAGUC
rnacentral:rRNA from 1 species